AAGCGACCAAGGGGAGUCCCGACAAGGGGCUGAGAGACCGCUGGCAUGGACCACCAUGCGCGCGGAGACCCUGCCGGGCGCAUCGUGCGUUCCGGGGAACCUGAUCCGGCUCAUACCGGCGGAGGGACUGGUGCAGACAAUCGG
rnacentral:ncRNA from 1 species